UAGUAAUACUACCACAGUGUAUAAGUACUCUGUAGAAGUACUGGGUUCCUGGGAUAUACAGUAUUAUAUCACUGGAUUAUAAUUAGUGAUGCAUUCAUGUGUUCUUCAUUUGAACUGUGCCGCCGGUAAAGGUGGAGCUAACUUUAAUGUCUUUUAUACUCAAAGGUAUUUUAUAUAUCCUUAUUAGUACAUCAUAAUUCAUUAUCUUAUAUUUUCUAUUACAAAUAUGAACAGGCAAAGAAACUGGAUCAUUAUUUGUGGAAUAGAAGUAUUAAAUAGCAGGAAAUGGAAGUACUCAAGUGAAGUCCAAGUACCUCCAAAUGGUACUUGGACAGUACUUGAGUGAAUGGUCUUAGUCACUGUCCACCUCUGGGUAGAUGUUGGUGGUAAAGGUAGACAUGAACCCAGAUUCAAACUGACCUGAGGCAGAUUACAGAGGGAGUGGAAACUCAAAGAAACAACUGAAACUAAGAGAGAGAAACUUUAUGAUUUCCACCUCCAGAGUUCUGACCAAUCAGACGGACUCUUCCUGAGAGCGUUUCCUGACGCUCCUUCGCCCCUCAGCAGAGACGUUAUCUGUGCUCUUUGAAACCAGAUCACUUAGAAAACAAAGCUUCAGAUUCAGAGCCACUCUGGUUUGUGUCUUUGUCUCCAAAUGUCUUGCUGUUUCUCCACAUUUAUGAAUGUUCACGCUUUGCUUGGUUCAGCUUGGUUCUCCUUUUGUAAGAGCACUGAGAGAAAUACAGACGUCCUUUAUGUUCACAUAGUUUGUUAAUGAAGCUGAUUCUGAAUGAUCAUAAUGGACAUUAGUACUGAUCGCUGAUGAAAUAACAAGAGCCACUGCCAUGCUGUCAUAAUCCCUCUGAGCACUAGAGGGCAGCAGUCACUUCAAUAUAACCCUUCUUAAUAUUCACCAAUCAGUGCUGGCUGUGAUCACUGGGAAAGUGACAUCAUGUCUCCUUUCAUCUGGAGUCAGGAUGUACCGGAGGAUUCUCUCUGCAGACCACAUUGGUGUAUUGUAAUCUUUAACAUCUACAGUAAACAUAUUCAAAGUGAGUUCUGGAGUCUGUCUCAUUUUCUGACCUGUUUAAUGAAUGUGUCAGGUAUGAAUGUGAAACCAUUGAUCCCAGUUGAAGAUGUAUGAAUGAGAUCAUGUUGGCGAGCCAGGAGAGGAUUGUUCUCUGAACAGAACCCCGACAGAACAAUGUGUAACAAUCAGCUUUAUUUCAAACCCAGUUACCACUGAAAUGAUUCAGGAGCCAUUGUGGUUCUUCAACCAAAGAGAGUGUGAUGAAAGAGUGUCCUCUCAAUCAGGGGUUUUCAAAGUGUGAGGCGCGUCUCCCCUAGGGGGCGCCAGAGAGCUUCAGGGGAGGUGCAGCUGUUCCCACUAAAGUAGGGGUGAGUGUAAUAAGGAGGCACAGUUGACGUUCAGUGUGUUGCUGGGAGCAGAUAAGGAUGUUGGAAAUGUAAAAAAUGUUUAACAAAGAUGUGUUGAGAACACGGUGUGUGAAAAUAUCCGGGUGGUGCUGCAGCUGGAUUUGCCUGUCCUCUGUCAGAAGGUGUCGGCGACUGCCAUGCGAGGAAGAACGGCUGUAUGGCGGCAAAUCUCUGUCAUAAACCGCGAGGGCAUAUGAGAUCCACGCGAGCACAAGUCAAGCAGCCGCGGACGUAUAUUAUUUCCGCGAGCACUAAAACGGCACUCGCGCGAGAGCAGUAUUGAAGCAGGGGAGAAACAUGCCUUGAGCAUGUGCAGCAUCUACAUGAGCUCUCCUUGGUCUCCUGCGCUCUGCUCGUGAAACUCUGGCCUGCUCUCACUCGCGGAGACAUUUUAGGAAGUGGGCGUACCCUAUCCCAGUAACGCCAAAUCUAAUUGGUUACACCCCUCCUCUUUUAUGAUUGGCCGUUUUCAAAUGACGAGAGAUAUCGGAGCGGGAAAGCCCCGCAGAAGAAGAAUGGCCGACGACAAGGAGAUAUUGACAUUGCAUUAUUUACAAGCCACGGUAUAAGAAGAAAGUGACACAGCUGUCUGCCCGCAAUAAUAAAAGUUAGCUAAAGUGAACUGUCAGCAGAUCUGGAUAAACAAGAUGUCAUGUCAAGGAGUCAAGAUAAUAUAAGAAGCACUUUAUUGAUCCCAAUUUGGGGACAUUUUGUAUGUAUUACUGUAGUUUCCCAAUCCACUGAAGUACUACUGGUCCCAAAUCAGCUUCAACAGAGGUGACAUGUGUGGAGGGUUAUAGUUCUAACUGCACACUUGUUUUGCUCUUCCCACAUAGAUAUCAUAUAUACUUAUGCAAUCAUAUUCCAAAAUGGUACGAAGGGGCCUGGAUGCUACAUAAAGCUGCUGGAGGAUCAGGCCAGCUGCUUGGCACCUGAGGCAGAGGGUUACACGGGGGCCUACCUUGCCAAAGCUUUAGGUGGAAAAGGCUGUCUCUAUAUAAUGCCCAUCCAGGACACUUUAGACACCUCCCCCUUGCCCUACUCAUCAAAGGAGUUUGAAAAUAUUCCAAAAGCCAGAUGUGCCACGUGUCAUCUAAGCAUGCCUGUCCAGCUGUUGGCUUUACACGCACAAGAGUGUGAACCAAGCAGCUGUUCUGACCGCAUGGAUCUGGAACCGGAUCUGGACCCAGAUUUAGAUGAGGCUCCAGCUACAAGCAAUCCUGGGAAUGCUUCUCCAAGUGUGCUCCCGUGUAGGACCUCCUGUUCUAAAAUCGAUAUUAAGGUGUCCUGUCCUGUCCUGUGCUCAGAGUUAUUUCCUGAGUGUUUUGUUGAAAUACAUGCCAGCACUUGUAGAGAAAG